AUGGAACAAGAUCAGGUUAAAUUAGUAGCACUCAUCGCGGAGCUAGAGGAGCCAGUAGGUCUUUUUGACUUGGCAGCAAUUGACCCUCCUAAUACUAAGAGAAAGAAGGGAAGGGAAAUAAAGAAUUUUUCUGAGUGGAUAGAGAAAGACCCUCCAGUGAAUUGGUCUUUGUUGCAUGACACCCAUGGAGCUAGGUAUGGCCACGUGACAACCAAUCUUGCAGAGGUGUAUAACUUUGUACUCAGAGGGAACAGAGCAUUUCCACUCACAGCUACUGUGGUGGUUGUAUUCCAUGGCACUUUGAGAUAUUUCAGAGAAAGGCACGAGUUAGCAAAGAAGCAUAUUGCAGAUAAUCACAACACACCUUAUUGUAGCCGUGUCAUGGAGUACAUGGCAAAUAAGAUAGAGAAAGCAAAGAAGUACACUGCCAGACUCAUAGGAAAUCAAGAAAGGAGGUAUGAGGUUUAG
rnacentral:rRNA from 1 species